GAAAUUUGAGAGGAGCUGUCCUUAGUACGAGAGGACCGGGAUGGACGCACCGCUGGUGUACCAGUUGUUCUGCCAAGGGCAUAGCUGGGUAGCUAUGUGCGGAAGGGAUAAGUGCUGAAAGCAUCUAAGCAUGAAGCCCCCCUCAAGAUGAGAUUUCCCAUAGCGUAAGCUAGUAAGAUCCCUGAAAGAUGAUCAGGUUGAUAGGUUCGAGGUGGAAGCAUGGUGACAUGUGGAGCUGACGAAUACUAAUAGAUCGAGGACUUAACCAUAUAA
rnacentral:rRNA from 2 species